GGGAAGGUGGCUCAGUGGUAGAGCGCUUGUCUUGCAUGCAUGAGGCCCUGGGUUCAAUUCCCUACCACCACA
rnacentral:tRNA from 1 species